rnacentral:rRNA from 1 species
AUUGAACGCUGGCGGCAGGCUUAACACAUGCAAGUCGAACGAGUGGCGGACGGGUGAGUAAUGUCUGGGAAACUGCCUGAUGGAGGGGGAUAACUACUGGAAACGGUAGCUAAUACCGCAUACCAUCAGAUGUGCCCAGGUGGGAUGAGCUAGUAGGUGGGGUAAUGGCUCACCUAGGCGACGAUCCCUAGCUGGGCUGAGAGGAUGACCAGCCACACUGGAACUGAGACACGGUCCAGACUCCUACGGGAGGCAGCAGUGGGGAAUAUUGCACAAUGGGCGCAAGCCUGAUGCAGCCAUGCCGCGUGUGUGAAGAAGGCCUUCGGGUUGUAAAAUGCUUUCAGCGAGGAGGCGUUACUCGCAGAAGAAGCACCGGCUAACUCCGUGCCAGCAGCCGCGGUAAUUC